GCACUGCCAUCUUGUUUUCAUUAUAAUUAGGAAAGCGAAAUUUGUUAUCAUUGAGAUUCCAAAUAAAUCUUGGCGUUAAUUUUGUUAUAUUAAAAAUCAAAUAAGGCAUCAUCUGUGUUUAUUGUAAAGUGACUAUCAAAAUCAAAACUAUGCUUAGAAAGAAAAAGUAUACAAAGCACAAAUAACUAAUUUAGGGUUGCUACUUUUAGUAAAGAAGCAGGAAUCUCAUCAACUGGCAACACCCUUUUGAAACCUCUUAGGAAAGUAAGGUCUAGAAUAUUACCAUGCUUUUCAACCAUAAGCAACUCUCCAGCCAACCCAUAACCUUUUUCCCUUCAAUCAAUUACAACAACUAUUGGCACACUAAUUUACAUAAUUAAGCCUUCAAUAUUUUAAUUGAUAACCAUACAUGAUAAUUAUAUUAAAUAUAUUUACUUUUAAUACAUUAUCUAGAUCGACUUCGUCUCUCCAGAUAUUUUAAAGUAAAUUCAUCAGUAACUCGU
rnacentral:misc_RNA from 1 species